CGCGGAUGGGAGGUAAGGUAUCUCACUGGCCUCAUAAGCCAGUCAAAGGCAGUUCGAUUCUGUCAUCCGCUACCA
rnacentral:tRNA from 1 species